rnacentral:lncRNA from 1 species
CAAAAAAAAAAAGGUAUACUUUAAGGUUGCCAAAAAUUACAGAUAAUAAGUGUAUGGUUCGAGACUUGUGAAUAUACCACCUGCUCAUAAUAGGCAUUUGACUGUAUCACUGUUUGCAAACAAAAAGACACUGACAAAUAUCACCACCUGCUCCAAUUUCACUCAAGAAAUAAUAUACAGAUUUUUUUUAACAUCAAAAUUUAUUAGAUAGAAUGGGGAAAAGUACAAAGAAUAUUUAACACAUAAAUCGGAAAAAGUACAAGGGGUACUCGGCUCAGACAAAAUAAACACCCUAUAUUAAAGAUUAAGGUAAAGAAGAGGCUUCGAAAACCAUUCAAAAUACAUACAAGUCCCUCCAUGAGACAUCUUUGAUAUCAUCAACUAUCUUCCACAUCUGAAGUCUUUGAAGAGAAGAUAGUCCUAUUGUGCGCCUCCCAUAUUUUUCAAAUAUACGGAACUAUAGCUGCUCUAUAAUCGUAGAGAAAGGAACCAUUAUUGGUCGAACCCCGUAAUUAACAAAGAUCAUGCCUCGGUGUAUUCCCAUUAUCGUUUCUUUUAUUCCUUUGUUACUAGUCGGUGUUUAACACAAUUAUAUUUUGACAAGCUCUUGAAUGCUGACCGGUGAGCAUGAAGAGCUAUUCCUGAAACAUCGUGAUGCUACGACUGAAUAUACAACUUCUGUAAGAUGAAAAGCAUCCCAAAAGAUAUGUUUACUUGGAUUCAUGCAUGGUCUUAAGAAAGGGAUACAUGCUGAAGUUCCAUGUUGCCAAGUAGUGCAACAUGGAUUCCUACCAUCUAUUAGACCUGCAAUAUUACACACAAGAUUCCAAGGUUUGAUCAAAGAUGGGUCCAAAGUAAAACUUGCCAAUGUUUUCUAACCAAACAAUUUUCAAUGAACAUUAUAACUAUUACAUGUGCAGAGUUUUUACCAUAUAUGGAUGGAUUUUUAUAGAGAUCGAUGAUUAUGGAGUAUGAUUGACCAAGAACAAAGGUAGAGCCUGGAAGACUGGAUGUGAGAUUUUUUAGCAUUGCAGAGAGCUUUUCGUUGAAGUAAAGUGCCAUUUUGUUUGCUUCUUCCAUGCAUUCACCUGUGUGUUCAUGUGUCCUAGAAAUUGCUGGUAUGCACCCUAUAGGUCCAAUCUCAAACACUACUAUCUUCCUAGCUCCCAACACAUACAAUGUCUAGCAAUUGUAAUAAUUUCAAGAAAAGGUGAAACAUAAUAUGAAAUAGACCAUUUAUGAAAAUAAAAACUUUAAUGCAUAUUGUUGUAGUCAGUCAUUCACGCAAUCACCACAUUGGUAGUUGUUGAAUCGAGAUCAGACAAACUUAAAUACCGAUCUUGAAAAUAUGAAUCAUCCAAUUUCGAUCCAACGAUCAAUAGCAUGCUGACUUGGUGAGUGUGUUGAAUUGAUUUCGGCAGCAAAGCCAAAUUCCCAAUUUUGCACCUUUAAUGUUUAAAGUGAGGUUUUAUGUUGCUAAUUUGAUUUUUUUUCUAGCAGUGCUUUUAGAAAAUAUUAAUGUGACGUAAAAUAACCCCUGGUGCAAUUUAAAACUUUUUAUAAGAGAUUUAUUCUUACUUUAAGUUGCUGCGAAAAAUUUUCUAUGAGGUGUUCAGCAAAAGGCUUAGGUUGGUAGAACUUGCUACUGUCAUAAAACCGAGGUUGGAGAAAGUUGUUGAUGUAAUCAUUGCUUCCAGCAGAAAUUAUAAAUAUAGAUUUUUGUAGAUGGUCAGAUAACUCAGUUGAAUAUCUAACCUUGCUUGUCAAAUCUCUCUUAAUUUCCCUUCCAAAUAACUUUAUUUGUUCGGUCAAAGUUAUGUAUUUUCCCUGCAAAAUCGACAAACUAGUAACCAACCACUAACAAAUUAUGUAAUUAUCAACUAAUUAUAUUUCACUUGGAAAGUACUUGUGUUGCACCUCAUCCCCCAUUUUUAUGGUUUUUUUUAGCGGCAAAAUUUAUUUAAAACUCGAUCUCUGCACAAGACGAACAAAAACCUGUAAAUCAGAGACUACAAAGGUGUCGUAUAUAGGCGGAACACCCAAAAUGAACAUCAAUAAAGACACGAAUUACACACGUCACCUACCUAAGACCUACCUUCAACACCCAUGAACCCCACAACCACCAAAACCAAUUUCACCGCCUAAAACAUACUCCAUCGCAAACAACCGCUGAAAAACUAAAUCCAUAAGCACCCAUCGCCGCUACUCACUCCAAAAAAACACCCCUCCAAAUCAAAUAUCCUCUUCACCUCACCAUGAUUAAGCCACACCCAAAAAUUUCUAUUCCAACACUCCUUCGCCUUCCACCACCUCUCUACCCCUGAUCCACCGAAGAAAAAACACUAUAAUAGGCCAAAGCAAACUUGAAUCAAAGAAUUGACAACCUCGAUCUUGAAUCAAAAACGAACGGCGUACUAGAAUCCAGAGCACAAAUCAGUAAGGCAUAUGAUAGGAUGGGUAGUGAGUAAACCGAAAUCAUGUCAGAAAAGGAAAUAGGUUCACAUAAACACAAAACCACCACAAAAUCACCAACACAACCAUAAACCACGUAAAUGGCCGGGGAAAAAUCGCCAAAGAAAACAUGACAAACCAACUCCUCAAAGACGACCCACCACAGCAGCAACCACCUUUCCCCACAAUCUCCGCUGCCAUUGCCGAGGACGACACUCACUCUCACCACUUCCUCACCAGGACCACCCCACAUCCCCUCCAACAAAACAUGAACAUCACCAUAUGGAAACAUAUCUAUAACAGAAUGUAGCAAAAUAAAGAUGAACACUGGACCGGAAAUCACGACAACGGACAGGAAAAGGACCCAGAUGAGCUGAAGAAGGUGGUGCAGAGACAUAGUCUCGUCGCACCACCACUGUGUGAAAAGGGGCCACAUAAACAACACAUAGGGGAUGAAGAAACACACCACAAAUCACCUUGAAAACCACCGCAACUGCAAUGGGGAUUACAGAUCUACGAAGAGCCUGCAACGGCUAAGAAUUGGGAAAAACCAAGCCGUGAGCGCAACCACCAGAAGAAGAAAAAAAAACAGAGCUCGCCAUGAACACAGCCUUCCGGCGAAAUCACCGCCAAGAGAACAAGGACUGGAGGUGAUGCGGAUGGAUGUUCCAUCUUCGCACCACCAGCCACCAUUAUUUUUAGAAUAGAAGGUAUUUGAAUUAGAAGGGUGGCGAAGAUAUGAAAGUUAGAGAGAGUUCAGAUCAGGGUAUUUUUAGAGAGAGAAAGUUUCAGGAAUAGUACUAGUAAAGACUAGCAUAUUCCAGCUGUUGUUU